AGUAGAUGCCAGUGGGCCUGGUGUGUGGGUCUCCUUAUCAGAAGCUUCUUUCUCUAGGUGUUACCAGUCAAGUCAACUUCCGAUGGGAGCAUCUCUGUCCACCCUUCACCAAGGACUCAUCUCAACAGAGAAGACUUUAGCCUGUUGAGAACUAUCCUCUGAGAAAGUGGGUUAGAGCCACUAUGCACAGAUAGCAGGUGUCUUUAAUCACUGCACGUGGGAAACAAAAGCAGGCAGAUCAAGUUCAAGGCCAGACUGACCUGAGCUCUAAGUCAGCCAGGACUUCAUUGUCAAACCCUGUCUUCCAAAAAAAGAGGAGGGAGGAGGAAGGUGAGGAAGAAGGGGAAGGUGGUUGAGGCAGAGGCACUGGUGGAGUGAAUCAUAUGUUGAUAACCCAAAGAGCAGAGCGAUGAAAGUGAAGUCGAGGGUGAAACUUCUGGUCAGAAACAAAAUGGUCAAUCUGCACUAUGUUGAAAACUGAGCCCAGACACAGCACAAUGGGGCUUGGUGUCACCCUGGCUGGUCCCGUUCAUCUGCCUUUUUCCUUGAAGGUUCAGAAUCCUGUGCUGAGAGAUAGGUCAUGCAGUCCGGGUGACUCCUGCAUGUUGCCCCGGAGACUCUCCCAGGAAUCACCCUUGUUGUCACAGUAACUAACAUUUGACAAGACCUACAGAAAACUUGCUAGAUCCUUCCUGGUUCUCAUGCAGAGAGGGAGACAGACUGCCCUCUUCUUCUCAGCCCUGAUGCUAAAUCCGUGCUUUUGUCUGUACAGGUACCUUUCAGAUGGUUGCUGGCUGCUCAGAAAACUGCUGUAGGGAAACUGCAAGUAGUACCAGGAGGUCAUGUGUCAUUAGUGUGGAUGCUGCUGUCUUACGUCUGUGGUCAUGGCACCAGAAUACAAUGUUCUCUGAUGGUGUUCCAAAAUGUUCCAAGUUCCCAAAGAAGGUGACGAAAUAACUGUCCUUCUGUCUCUCUAGUGAUACAGAAGAAUGGGAACAGUCCAGAUGUCACUCAGUAAGUUCCAAUGGUGUUCCAUACUCUCUAUCAAACAAUACUAACGUCUAGAAGCUGCUAGGAGGGUCUGUGUCUUCCUGUAGCAGUGCGGACGUGUCCUGGUUUCACAUGGGAGAAGAGAUGCACAGAGAGCGUUUGGGAGCAAAGCAUUUCCUCCAGCACACCACACUGGAUCACACCACACUGGAUCACACCACACUGGAUCACACCACACUGGAUCACACCACACUGGAUCACACCACACUGGAUCACACCACACUGGAUCACACCACACUGGCUACUGUCGGCAUUCCUGGCUGAUGUCUGUGUCUGCUGAGAGUGAGAAGUCCCCUCAGAGACGAGUCUCUGGAGAGUUGGAAUUGUAGCUGUGACCUUUAUUUCUUUCUCAUCAACGACACAUUUGACAUUAUAUAUCUUG
ensembl:lncRNA